CGAGGCCCUACAUCUGGUGAAAAUUCAUCCUCACGUAAAUAUUCACCAUUAGUAUAAUUCAAAUUAACUCCCUGGGGCCGAUAUGCGACUAUAGUCGUCAUAUUUUCUACCCCUGUAGCGUCGAUAUGCGACUAUAAGCGCGUUAUCUGGACUCCCCAGGACGGCGAUUGACGAGUAUAGUCGCGGCAUCGAGGUCAUGCUGAUUGCGUCACAUACUUGUUAAUUUUUGAUAAUACUGACAAAAGCAAAAUUAAUUUGCAUACUGGGAAUUAUUUCUUAGAUGUUGUAAUUAUUAAUUAUGUUAAUAAUUAAUUCCCUUGUUUAAAUAAAUGUUCGUAAUUAUGCGGUCAUGUUAAAGGGAAUAAAAAUAUGAACUCCGCUGUGUUUUGUUCAUACUUUAUUUGACUUUUCAAAAGAGUACAAUAAUGUCGUCUGCCAGUGAUCUUUCUGAAAAUGAAGAAAAUAAUUAUUCUGACUCUGACAUAUCAGUUCCGUCGGAUGAUGAUUCAGAUGAUGAAAUUCCGUUGAUUCAGUUAGCAGAACAUCAGAAAAAUGAAUGGUCGGAGAAUUUGCAUGGAAUUCGCACUCAGCAGUUUGAAGGAAAUCCUGGACCGACGUCAUUUUUAUCCGAGGACAAAUAUGAAAUUGACUUUUUUGAACAAAUCUUCAAACCAGAAAUAUAUGAGGACUUAGCCCGUGAAACAAACAUGUAUGCCGUACGGAAAAUGCGUGAAAAGCCGGACGAAAAAUGGCGCGAAGUGACUGUGGCUGACAUCAAGGCAUACAUUGGAUUUCAAAUCGUUAUGGGAGUGAUCAUAGCACCACGACUUGAUGACUAUUUUUCAACUGAUGAAAUGUUCGGAAUAUGUGGAAUCAAGCAUAGAAUUAAUCGUGAUAGAUUUGACAAAAUUAAUCAGUACUUUCAUGCCGCGGACACAUCGAUGAAUCCACCCAGAGGAGACGCCGGUCAUGACAAAAUCGCGCACGUGCGUCCUGUGCUUGAAAAAGUACGAACUUCACUGUCGUCUGCGUACCGGCCACACAGGGAGUCGACAAUUGACGAGGCAAUGGUUGCUUACACCGGAAGGCUUUCCAUCAAGCAGUAUGUCCCGAUGAAACCAACGAAGCGCGGGAUAAAAGUAUGGGUUCGGGCUGAUCCGCACAAUGGUUUAUCAACGACUUUCAGGUGUACCUUGGAAAGGAAAACAACACAGGAGAGUAUGGUCUUGGCGAAAGAGUAGUGUUGGACCUAACUAGAGACAUUUUAAAUCGCGGGCAUCAUAUUUACAUGGACAACUUUUUCACGUCGGUGAAGUUAUUUGAGAAGUUAGAGGAGAACGACACAUAUGCCUGUGGAACUGUUCGAGCUCAGAGACAAGGGGUACCACCGCAAAUACGGAAUGCUAAUAUAAAGAACCAAGGAGAGUCUGUGAUUAUGCAAAAACGAAAUAUGGUUGCCUUGACAUGGAAGGACAAGCGCCCUGUGAAUUUGCUGUCAACAAACACUGAUCCCCGACGGCAAACUACCGUUCUCCGACGUCAGAAAGAUGGUUCCCGUAUUGACGUGCCUUGUCCAGAAGUUGUGAAAAAUUACACAAAAUUCAUGAAUGGAGUAGAUCGCGCAGACCAGCUUAGGGCAUUAUACUCCUGUGGUAGAAAAGCAAGUAAAUGGUGGAAAUAUCUGUUUUGGUUCCUGGUGGAUAUUUCAAUUGUGUGUGGGUACAUUCUGAUGAAGGAAUCCCCUAAUCAUCAACGGAAGUCUCUAAACGGUAGACAAAAACAACUGUCUAUGGUUGACUAUCGCAAGUCGCUAGCAAAACAACUUAUUGGUAUCUACAUGGUCAGAAACAAACAAAAAGCUAUGAAAGAGAACACCUCAUAUGCCGACGGCUCGAAUUGCUGGGUAGCGGACAUGGGAAAGAAACGUCGGUGUGAACAUUGCAAGCCCCGUGGUAUUAGGCGCGAACCCCGAUUUGGAUGUGAAGCAUGCGGCGUGAACCUGUGUGUAGAGUGCUUCAAACCAUACCAUCUAGAACGAUUUCCGGACCGAUAUACUCGAUGAAAAUUGUGUACAACAUGAACCUUCAUUCAAAAUGUUUAAGUUUUAGAAGUUUGAAACAUUCAUAAACAUACAUAGACUACACAAACAAAUGGAUAAAAUUAAUACAACAAAAUAUUUUCCAUAAAAUAAAAAAAAACGUUUGUGAAUAAAGGCAUGUUUGUGAAUUUAAUAGUAUUUAAACUUAAGAUGGAUGUAAAUAUCGUAACUUUACUGGACUUUACACAUGCUCUUAGCGCGUGUCACACGUUCAUGUACAUAUUUAAAAAUAGAUUUUACAUCAAAAUAAACCAUCGAUAUACGCACAAAAACGGAUGUAAAUUUCAAGUAAUGCUGGUGCUAAUAUUCUGUGUUAAUAAUAUAUCUCUAUUUAUUGGAAUUUACCGUCUUUACAUGUGAAAAAAAUAAGAAAAUCAGAAAUGUAUAAAUAUUCAAUAAACGUAAUAGGUGUGUAAAAAUUGUGAAUAUUUCAAUGUGAAAAUAUUAUUCUAUGUGGAUAUAAGUUAUGGGCAAAAUAUGGAUAUAAAAAUGUUUGUUAAAACUUCGAAGAGUUUUAACCAGGUUCACAGACAGCACGUUGGAUGUGUGUAAUAGAUGGGUGACUUUGAACAGUGUCAGUGCGUUGUGUGUAUUGGUCUUGGUACAACCAGUUAGCCUGAUCCACAAUUGAAGAGGAUCAUCAUUCUUUGGGACAAUACUGUAUGGUACUUUGAUAACGUUGUGUUAGUGGAGUGAUGUACAUGCUUUGUUGAUACAUAUAAGACAUUGUUUGUUGUGUGAUCAAGCGGCCUGUUGAUAGAAUUACAGAUACAGCUUUAGUACAUCCCGGUCAUCGUAUGAGUCUGCAUCUCGUAAGAUAUCAGAAGCCGUCUGACUGGGCCACAUCGCUCGGAAGUCCGAAAUACUAGAAAAAAACCGGCAUCUGCUACCUUAAGACAUCUGUCAAUUUUUGUCUGCAUCUCGUAAGAUAUCAGAAGCCGUCUGACUGGGCCACAUCACUCAGAAGUCCGAAAUACUAGAAAAAAACCGGAAUCUGCUACCUAAGCCGAUUACAAACGUACAGAUUUCUGUAUCAAUACCCAUAACCCACCGCGCGAACACUAAUCUAACAAGAGCUGUCCGUAAGACAGCCAAGCUCGACUAUUCAAAAUAUUGUCCCAGAAGCAGGAAAAUAUUACCCAAAAAGGUUAAAUAUCAAAAGAUUUUUAAGUUCAAAAGGGGGAAUAAUUUGACCAAAAUGCAU